UACGAAGGGUGCAAGCGUUAAUCGGAAUUACUGGGCGUAAAGCGCGCGUAGGUGGUUCGUUAAGUUAGGAGUGAAAGCCCCGGGCUCAACCUGGGAAUUGCUUCUAAAACUGGCGGGCUAGAGUAUGGUAGAGGGUGGUGGAAUUUCCUGUGUAGCGGUGAAAUGCGUAGAUAUAGGAAGGAACAUCAGUGGCGAAGGCGACCACCUGGACUGAUACUGACACUGAGGUGCGAAAGCGUGGGGAGCAAACAGGAUUAGAUACCCCCGUAGUCCCUGAGCGGG
rnacentral:rRNA from 1 species